rnacentral:lncRNA from 1 species
CUUACCUGAGCUAUCCUGAGCUCAUCAAAGGACAGAAAUCUGCUGAGACCCUUGUUCUAAUCUCUUUAUUGAUAGGCACAACAGCUUGAAGAAACCAAAUGGACUGGAUGCCAAAAGCAACUUUGUGACCCCCUAUCAGAGGAAGUCAAGACUGGUGAGAAAUUGGUGCAGACCAAAGGAGGUGACCUCUAGUUACUUUUGAAUGAUUAACAUAUCAUUAUCAUACUAAAAUCCCCUCUGCUAAGUGAAGAUCACCGCCAUUUUGUGUACAUGCAAUGUAUGGAGAAGUAUGUUCAUGAAUUGCACCUACCACUUGGAACUCCACCCUAUACGUGCCUGCAUACCUCCCCCUACAUUCAACUCCUUAAAACUCCCAUACCCCCCAUUGCCUGGGAAGAGGUACUUUUAGAUCAUGAGCUCCCCUUCUUUGGCCACUGAAUAAAACCUGAUUGCCUUUCUAAUUUGACAUUCUUUCUUUGUGGCUGACAUAAAGUAGGGAAAGAAUGCAGGUUACUGGUGACAGUUCCAGCCCAAGUCAAAUGUCUGCAGAGCCUUAAGCUUCAUGUGCCUAAUUAGUGAAAGUAAUUUGUGGUACAAUGAUUAAAAGAAUAACGUUUGAGAAGACAAGGGUUUGAAUGCUUCCCCACUUACAGGCAUAUAACCUUGGAAAAUCACUCAGCUUCUCUAAGCCUUAUCAUCUUCAUCCACAUAAUGGGCAUACUUAUAGCAAACUUUUGUUGAACACUUAUUAUAUGCUAGGACAUUUUUAAAAGUGUAUUUCUGGCGGGGCAUUGUGGCUCAUGCCCGUAAUUCC